rnacentral:rRNA from 1 species
GCCCUUUAGACUGGGAUAACAAGAGGGAAACUUCUGAUAAUACUGGAUAAGUUAGUAUAUCGCAUGAUAUGCAAAUGAAAGCUACGGCACUAAAGGAGAGCUUUGCGUCCUAUUAGCUAGUUGGUAAGGUAAGAGCUUACCAAGGCGAUGAUAGGUAGCCGGCCUGAGAGGGUGGACGGCCACAAGGGGACUGAGAUACGGCCCUUACUCCUACGGGAGGCAGCAGAU